GAUGAACGCUGGCGGCGUGCCUAAUACAUGCAAGUCGAGCGAACGGACGAGAAGCUUGCUUCUCUGAUGUUAGCGGCGGACGGGUGAGUAACACGUGGAUAACCUACCUAUAAGACUGGGAUAACUUCGGGAAACCGGAGCUAAUACCGGAUGAUAUUUUGAACCGCAUGGUUCAAAAGUGAAAGACGGUCUUGCUGUCACUUAUAGAUGGAUCCGCGCUGCAUUAGCUAGUUGGUAAGGUAACGGCUUACCAAGGCAACGAUGCAUAGCCGACCUGAGAGGGUGAUCGGCCACACUGGAACUGAGACACGGUCCAGACUCCUACGGGAGGCAGCAGUAGGGAAUCUUCCGCAAUGGGCGAAAGCCUGACGGAGCAACGCCGCGUGAGUGAUGAAGGUCUUCGGAUCGUAAAACUCUGUUAUUAGGGGAGAACAUAUGUGUAAGUAACUGUGCACAUCUUGACGGUACCUAAUCAGAGAGCCACGGCUAACUACGUG
rnacentral:rRNA from 1 species